GAAUGCGAUGAUGAUUAUCUGUUUCCCUAUUGGUUUGAUUGCCUGGAUGAUGACAUUGUUGUAUUAGCUCUAUAUGAUCAUUC